rnacentral:rRNA from 1 species
UUGGAGAUCCUCAAGCUCUUCGGGGAGGCCAUGGGGCUCCGCGUCAGCCUGCCUAAAUCCUCUAUGGUGCCCAUCUGCUGCGACGACGUAGACCUCGACGGCGUCCUUUUGAAUUUUGGUGGGCAAACGACAAACUUCCCAAUUAGAUACCUCGGUCUUCCCAUCAUGAUAGGCAGGACAAGACUAGUUCAUCUGCAAUUCAUCCUUGAUAGAAUUCGAGCUCGGCUAGCUGGGUGGAAGGGCGGGAUCAUGUCGUUGGUCGGACAGCGAGUAUUGGUGCGGUGUGUGCUCUCAGCCGUGCCAACCUUUGCGAUCACGGCCAUGUGUGUGCCCAAGGAGCUCUUCGAAGACAUCGACAAGGCACGUCGUCUUCCUCUAGGCGCACGACGAGGAGGUCUCGGGAGGGAAAUGCAAGGUGGCUUGGAAGCUCAUCAUGGGGCCAAAGAGUAG